GCUCUUGUAGUGUAGUGGUUAUCACGCAUCCUUUACACGGAUGAGGUCUCCGGUUCGAACCCGGACAAGAGCA
rfam:Nosema ceranae BRL01 Nc000009, whole genome shotgun sequence.